rnacentral:rRNA from 1 species
CCUACGGGAGGCAGCAGUGGGGAAUAUUGGACAAUGGGGGGAACCCUGAUCCAGCCAUGCCGCGUGUGUGAAGAAGGCCCUCGGGUUGUAAAGCACUUUCAGUGAGGAAGAACGCCUGGUGGUUAAUACCCAUCAGGAAAGACAUCACUCACAGAAGAAGCACCGGCUAACUCCGUGCCAGCAGCCGCGGUAAUACGGAGGGCGCGAGCGUUAAUCGGAAUUACUGGGCGUAAAGCGCGCGUAGGUGGCUUGAUAAGCCGGUUGUGAAAGCCCCGGGCUCAACCUGGGAACGGCAUCCGGAACUGUCAAGCUAGAGUGCAGGAGAGGAAGGUAGAAUUCCCGGUGUAGCGGUGAAAUGCGUAGAGAUCGGGAGGAAUACCAGUGGCGAAGGCGGCCUUCUGGACUGACACUGACACUGAGGUGCGAAAGCGUGGGUAGCAAACAGGAUUAGAUACCCUGGUAGUC